UACGGGGGGGGCAAGCGUUGUUCGGAAUUACUGGGCGUAAAGGGCUCGUAGGCGGCCAACUAAGUCAGACGUGAAAUCCCUCGGCUUAACCGGGGAACUGCAUCUGAUACUGGAUGGCUUGAGUUCGGGAGAGGGAUGCGGAAUUCCAGGUGUAGCGGUGAAAUGCGCAGAUAUCAGGAAGAACACCCGUGGCGAAAGCGGCUCUCUGGAACGGUACUGACGCUGAGACGCGAAAGCGUGGGGAGCAAACAGG
rnacentral:rRNA from 1 species